AGUGCGAGCCUGAUGAGCCUGCCGCGUGUGUGAGAAGGCCUUCGGAUUGUAAAGCACUUUUAGUUGGGAAGAAGGGCAGUAGACUAAUACUUUGCUGUUUUGACGUUACCGACACAACAAGCCCCGGCUUACUCUAUGCCAGCCGCCGCGGUAAUAA
rnacentral:rRNA from 1 species